rfam:Brachypodium distachyon strain Bd21 chromosome 1, whole genome shotgun sequence.
CAUGUACUCCCUCCGUCCAGUGUUAAGUCUCAACUUUGUGUAAAUACGCAUGUACCUACACACUAAAAUGCGUCUAGAUACAUGUGUAUCUAGACAAAGUUGUGACACUUAAUACCGGGCAGAGGAAGUAAAUA